CCUACGGGAGGCAGCAGUGGGGAAUAUUGGACAAUGGGCGAAAGCCUGAUCCAGCAAUGCCGCGUGAGUGAUGAAGGCCUUAGGGUUGUAAAGCUCUUUUACCAGGGAUGAUAAUGACAGUACCUGGAGAAUAAGCUCCGGCUAACUCCGUGCCAGCAGCCGCGGUAAUACGGAGGGAGCUAGCGUUGUUCGGAAUUACUGGGCGUAAAGCGUACGUAGGCGGUUAUUCAAGUCAGAGGUGAAAGCCUGGAGCUCAACUCCAGAACUGCCUUUGAAACUAGAUAGCUAGAAUCUUGGAGAGGUGAGUGGAAUUCCGAGUGUAGAGGUGAAAUUCGUAGAUAUUCGGAAGAACACCAGUGGCGAAGGCGACUCACUGGACAAGUAUUGACGCUGAGGUACGAAAGCGUGGGGAGCAAACAGGAUUAGAUACCCUGGUAGUCCACGCCGUAAACGAUGAUAACUAGCUGUUCGGGCUCUACGAGCUUGAGUGGCGCAGCUACGACAUUAAGUUAUUCCGUCCGUCGGGGAGGUACGGUCGGCGAAGAAUUAAAACGUUAAAAGGUAAGUUAGUACGGCGUGAGACGUACGCCGACGGACGACGACGAGGGAGGUUAGG
rnacentral:rRNA from 1 species